UACGCUGGCGGCACGCCUAACACAUGCAAGUCGAACGAAGUAGCAAUACUUAGUGGCAGACGGGUGAGUAACAUGUAGGUAUCUGCCCUUUGGCCUGGAAUAACACGAGGAAACUUGUGCUAAUACCGGAUAAGUCUUUACGGAGAAAGCUUUAUGCACCAUUGGAUGAGCCUGCACUUGAUUAGUUUGUUGGUGGGGUAAUGGCCUACCAAGACUGUGAUCAAUAGCUGAUUUGAGAGGAUGAUCAGCCACAUUGGGACUGAGACACGGCCCAAACUCCUACGGGAGGCAGCAGUGGGGAAUCUUGCACAAUGGAGGAAACUCUGAUGCAGCGAUGCCGCGUGAGUGAAGAAGGCCUUUGGGUUGUAAAGCUCUUUCGUCGGGGAAGAAAAUGACUGUACCCGAAUAAGAAGGUCCGGCUAACUUCGUGCCAGCAGCCGCGGUAAUACGAAGGGACCUAGCGUAGUUCGGAAUUACUGGGCUUAAAGAGUUCGUAGGUGGUUGAAAAAGUUGGUGGUGAAAUCCCAGAGCUUAACUCUGGAACUGCCAUCAAAACUUUUCAGCUAGAGUAUGAUAGAGGAAAGCAGAAUUUCUAGUGUAGAGGUGAAAUUCGUAGAUAUUAGAAAGAAUACCAAUUGCGAAGGCAGCUUUCUGGAUCAUUACUGACACUGAGGAACGAAAGCAUGGGUAGCGAAGAGGAUUAGAUACCCUCGUAGUCCAUGCCGUAAACGAUGUGUGUUAGACGUUGGAAAUUUAUUUUCAGUGUCGCAGCGAAAGCGAUAAACACACCGCCUGGGGAGUACG
rnacentral:rRNA from 1 species